rnacentral:rRNA from 1 species
CCAAUAGCGUAUAUUAAAGUUGUUGCAGUUAAAAAGCUCGUAGUUGAAUUUCGGGGUCAGUAGGUUGGUCGUGCCACUGGUAUGUACUGGUCUCACUGAUUCCUCCUUCCUGAUGAGCUGUAAUGCCAUUAAUUUGGUGUUGCAGGGAAUCUGGACUGUUACUUUGAAAAAAUUAGAGUGUUUAAAGCAGGCUAACGCUUGAAUACAUUAGCAUGGAAUAAUGAAAUAGGACGUUCGAUCCUAUUUUGUUGGUUUCUAGGAUUGACGUAAUGAUUAAUAGGGAUAGUUGGGGGCAUUAGUAUUCAAUUGUCAGAGGUGAAAUUCUUGGAUUUAUUGAAGACUAACUACUGCGAAAGCAUUUGCCAAGGAUGUUUUCAUUAAUCAAGAACGAAAGUUAGGGGAUCGAAGACGAUCAGAUACCGUCGUAGUCUUAACCAUAAACUAUGCCGACUAGGAAUCAGACGAUGUUAAUUUUUUAAUGACUCGUUUGGCACCUUACG